ACUUCUUUUAUGGAGAGUUUGAUCCUGGCUCAGGAUGAACGCUGGCGGCGUGCCUAAUACAUGCAAGUCGAGCGAACAGAUGAGAAGCUUGCUUCUCUG
rnacentral:rRNA from 1 species